AGUGAACGCUGGCGGUAGGCCUAACACAUGCAAGUCGAACGGCAGCACAGUAAGAGCUUGCUCUUACGGGUGGCGAGUGGCGGACGGGUGAGGAAUACAUCGGAAUCUACUUUUUCGUGGGGGAUAACGUAGGGAAACUUACGCUAAUACCGCAUACUACCUACGGGUGAAAGCAUGGGAUCUUCGGACCUUGCGCGAUUGAAUGAGCCGAUGUCGGAUUAGCUAGUUGGCGGGGUAAGGGCCCACCAAGGCGACGAUCCGUAGCUGGUCUGAGAGGAUGAUCAGCCACACUGGAACUGAGACACGGUCCAGACUCCUACGGGAGGCAGCAGUGGGGAAUAUUGGACAAUGGGCGCAAGCCUGAUCCAGCCAUACCGCGUGGGUGAAGAAGGCCUUCGGGUUGUAAAGCCCUUUUGUUGGGAAAGAAAAGCAGCAGGUUAAUACCCCGCUGUUCUGACGGUACCCAAAGAAUAAGCACCGGCUAACUUCGUG
rnacentral:rRNA from 1 species